AUACGUAGGUGGCGAGCGUUGUCCGGAUUUACUGGGCGUAAAGGGAGCGUAGGCGGAUUUUUUAAGUGAGAUGUGAAAUACCCGAGCUUAACUUGGGAGCUGCAUUCCAAACUGGAUAUCUAGAGUGCAGGAGAGGAGAAUGGAAUUCCUAGUGUAGCGGUGAAAUGCGUAGAGAUUAGGAAGAACACCAGUGGCGAAGGCGAUUCUCUGGACUGUAACUGACGCUGAGGCUCGAAAGCGUGGGGAGC
rnacentral:rRNA from 1 species